UACGUAGGGGGCGAGCGUUGUCCGGAAUUACUGGGCGUAAAGAGCGUGUAGGCGGGUGCUUAAGUCAGGUGUGAAAGACCGGGGCUCAACUCCGGGGUUGCACUUGAAACUGGGCAUCUUGAGGGCAGGAGAGGAAAGCGGAAUUCCUGGUGUAGCGGUGAAAUGCGUAGAUAUCAGGAGGAACACCGGUGGCGAAGGCGGCUUUCUGGACUGACCCUGACGCUGAGACGCGAAAGCGUGGGGAGCAAACAGG
rnacentral:rRNA from 1 species